rnacentral:misc_RNA from 1 species
GUAUAGGUUUAUCGACGCUUUGUUAAGGCGAGGACAUAUGUUUACAUUCUAUAAGACUUGGUAUAUGAAUGAGACGUAGGGGCCCCCGUCAAGGGCCCUUACAGUAAGUUCACAGGUGUGUGUGGAUUAAGGGCUCGGGCGUGCACGUGCCCCGAAAGGCCAGCUACAACCCUUGCCGGUAAUUCUGUAAUGAUCCUUCCGCAGGUUCACCUACGGAAA